GAAAACAUAGUUGCGAGCCUGGCAGCCGCAGGGGUGUGUGCUACAGGGGUAUGAUAAUUAUAAAUAAAACGAUGAUUCAUUUGAGCUUAACAAUUUCCUUGCAAAAAUAUGCAUUUAGGAAGCAACCAUAUACAUCUGAAAAAUCAGUAAACCAUGUACAUGUAAAUGGUGGUGUGAUAGUGCCACAAUCUAUCUGCGGCUAGCUAUAAUGUCGCAAUAAAAGGCUAGCCAACCAUUGAUACCCCCCCUGCUGCUCUUUACCGUAUUCACUCGUUGCCAUCUGUGUGUCUGUUUGCACCCCACCACAGACCUGGAUCAAAUGGGGAUGGACUGGAUGUGCCAUGCAGAGGAGGCAUAGCAGUAACACCGAUGGCAUGCCCUCAGAAAGGUUCGAGUCUACAUUCUAGGACACAGACCUCUCUGCAGGUUCAUCAUAACCUGAAAUUUCCCACUAAAGAGGAAGGACCCAUAGCCAAACCCUGGGAUCAUAAAGCAGCCUGGACCAAGGCUUGUUUGACUGUCUGAAGCCUGACUCUCCUACCUCCCCCAGCAGCUCUUCUCCGGCCUGGUUGGGGUCGGGGUUCCCUCUGGUCCGGCGUGCCCUCAGCUAACUUCCAGGCAGUUGGCCUGGUUCUGGGGACUCCCCAAGACGUCUUCAUCCAGAUGACCGUCUCCUCCAGGGAGGAAAGGGGUCCACACCACACUGAGGGCAUAUGUCACCAUGUGACUACGUUUCAUCCCGAUGUUUGCAAAGCCCAUGUUUGCAAAGCCCAACAUCAACAGCUUUGACUUCUUUGAUCUGGGCGAUGGAGAUCACUGACUUUGUUCUCAAGUACUUCACCAUCAGCCCUGUUUCUGCCCAAGAUCCUCUGGGCCUUUAAAUCCAUGGUUUUGCCCGUUGGGGUCACAGAGUGUAUUUUGACUCGGCUGAUAAACAGGCCAAUCAGAGAGUGAGGCUGCUGCCACUGAGCUCAUUUCUCCCUGGAGGGGUGCAGAGGUGAGGUCAUCCUUCCCUGGGGCUGGACCAUUACUGCUGUGUGUGCUCCCACUCCUCCUCGGCUGCUGGGGUACCCGCGCCACGCUAUCACUAAACCAACCGACCAACCAACCCCCACCUUUCCCACCACCCUCUGCCCCAACCAAACCUUGUCCUGAAACAGGCCCAAGUGGCCCACUUUCAGCCGAUGAAGUCAUGGCCACACAUCAGCCAAUCAUUCUGCUUCGUGCUUUUGCUUUUGCUUCCAUCCACGGAAGGACUGAUUUAAUGAUCUCACAAGCACAAACAUGCAAGUCGGUACAAGUGGAGGCCUACAGAAAAAGACCAGACUCUUGUACAUUGAUUUACUGUAUACCGUGGUGGGUUGUAAAUGUAUUUGAUUUACUUUGCUCUACUGUUAUUUUAACAUUGCUUGUUGGCUACAUUUUUUGGCACUGUCAGUGCACUCCCACUUCAGGGAAAUGUAUUUUCUAAUAACCAUGCAGCAAGAUUGAAUGAAAACAUGCUUUUAGCAGCUGAUAGGAAUUACUUAUAACGGUGGCGUACCCAACUGCUGGGUAGGCUUUGAUUGGUAGGUUGAGAGGUCAGCAUCACUAAUGAAACAAAACAAGCAGAAAGUCCCAGAAUGCUUUAGAACUGCUUCUGUGGCUCAACGUUUCUGGCUGGAGUCCAGUUUUAGUUUGACAUAUCAAGUGGUUGUGUGUGUGUGUGUGUGUGUGUGUGUGUGUGUGUGUGUGUGUGUGUGUGUGUGUGUAGCCAGAACUAGGGGCAGGAAGGGACAAUGAGGAAAGAAGCUGCAGCCUGUGGAGCCUAGGCCAGGGGCCAUGCUUAGUCUGGAGCGUGCUGCUUUAAAACUCUUACAGUGUGCUGCUCUUAACCCAUAAAAGUCUAAGCCCUGUCAAAGCUGGGGGAUGAUCAUUUAGCUAUUUGAUUUUGAAUUUUAAGACCCCUUGAAGUAUAAAAAAAAUAUAUUUAUUUAAAAAAUGAAUUGAAUAACAAAUUCACCACAUGGAACAACAUAUUUUAUAUGUAUUUAACCCCUUAUUUUUGCUGCUGUGUGCAAAACAAAUCCUAGUAAAUGGGUGCGUGCAGCUGUCAAAGUAUUAUGGAUUGAGAUCAUGAGAACUUGGAGAAAUUGAGUCAGAACUGUUCACAGAGGUGUGUCCUCAGAAUAUUGCAAAAUGGGACAGGACACUGCCCAUCAGUGAGUGGUUAAAGAAAAGAAAAUAAGAGAGAGUGGGGGCGGGUUUGAGUCAUUAAGUCGAGCAGAAAGGGAAUCAUAAAAAAGGAAUCACUAGGGCACUGUAUUCAGGGAAGAAUUUGUAAUGUUUCAGAGUGAGAAUUUCUCAUGUUUUAAGGAUAUUAUACAGUGGUCACCAACCUGGUCCAGAGGCAGGCUUUUGUUCCAGGGCUGCACUAAUGCACCCGAUUCUAGUGCCUUGACUGUGUAAUAUGUUUAUCUUUCAGUCGCUUGACCUCUGUGGACGAGUAUCAGCCAUACGCAGGGCUAUAUGGAAAUUCUCUGCAGUUCUCAGGUGAGAAAUGAUUACUUUCUGUAAAGAAAAGUAUCAGGGCCAAAUACCAGCCCACAUCACUGCCCUAUAACACUACUAGCUACAGUUGUAAACCUUCAACUGUCAGUGGGUUUUGCCUGAUCUUGCACUCUGAUUGAAUCAUCUUACUACAUGUACCGUAUUAAAAUGCAACAUCAGAAUAAAGAUACUGUAUACAGUGAGUUGACCCUGUAUGGCAGGGUUCCCCGACUGGUGGCCUGCGGGUGUUUUAUUUGGCCCCCUGAGUUUUCAGAGCAAAACAAAUUGAGAAUUAUUAUUAUUACAUUUUGGGGGGUAUAAAAAAACUGUAAAAACACCAGGAAAUCAGCUCCAAGUUAUUUUAAUUUUGGAACUCUGUUCCCAAGUAUUUCCAUAAUAGGGAGACACGUGAUCAUAAACAAAUGUAAGCAAGGGUUGAAAUUAUUGUUUUAGUCAAAUAUAUCUGUUUGGGCUUCUUGUGGUCAAUUUGCAGUCUUCAAAUUAUUUGUAUUUGCUGUAUGUUCCGGGGGCCCCGACCAUCUGCUCAAGAAAGGUUUGGGCCGCGGCUUAAUCUAGUUGAUAAUCCCUGCCUAAUGGUAUGGGAAUGUAAACACAAGCUUUGUCUCCUUGUGACCACCUACCUGAUGCUCUAUCACCCAUAGAGUUAAGGUGUGAGGGCCAGCAGCAGCCAGCAGUGCAAUGAGGCCGGAGAUGUGUGUACUAUUUGUCAGGGUGACUUCAGAAACCCCAUAGCUCUUCUCAGGCAUGUGAGAGUACAUACAUCAAACCAUAAGCUCUGCUACUACAUACUUUACUAUACCACCAUUCGCCUGUGUUAACCAUGGUAACCACAAGCCGACUGUAACAGUAUGGGCUGUAUCACAACCGGCCAUGAUUGGGUGUCCCAUAGGGUGGCGCACAAUUGGACCAGCGUUGUCCGAGUUAGGGGAGGGUUUGGCCGGGGUAGGCCGUCAUUGUAAAUAAGAAUUUGUUCUUAAUGGACUUGCCUAGUUAAAUAAAAGUUAAAUUUAAAAAAAGGUUUUAUAUGACCCUUAGUGUGGUGUAGCUUGAUGCUAAAGUCACUGUCCAUGACUCUUUUGUUUCUUUCUGUGGCCUUACUGAUCAAUACUGUAUUGAAUAACUGACCAAUAUUCAAUGCAUACUCCUUUUGGUAAACCAAAGUGAAUGUGAGUGUAAAGCCCAUGUGUUUCUCUCUCCCACCUAGCAUGUGUUCUGUGAGGAGUGUCUGUAUUUGUGGUUAGACCGUGAGCAAACAUGCCCACUCUGUGGUCAUAGGCACCACCUCUGCCCACUUCCAGAUCUACUAGCUGGGAUUGACAGCCAUUAGCUUCCACUGGAGGACAUUACAGAGGAAUAAGUCAUUUAAGUAUGCCCUUACUGUGUUGCCCGUUGGAGUCUAAACUCUACAGUCUAUACAGUUGUCUCAUCCAUCCUUGCAAAGAAAUAGAAUGUGAACUUAUCUCCGUGCAGCACAGCAGUGUGGUAUUGGUCAGUAUUAUUGUACAGGGUAGCUUAUGUCAGCACAUGAAUUGCUCAUUUGCUGAUGUAUUUCGUAGAUCUUUCACUAAUGUUACCAUUCUUGCAACAAUUUACGUGUUAUACAUUUCACCUGAUUUCUAGUAAAGAUACAGCUUAUGUUUGAUGACAUCAGACCUACCAAAACAUUUGAGAAACUCGAACACAAGUUGUGUGUUUUCAGUAUGUAUCAGAUUUUUCAAUGGAACCAUGGUUGAAGCAGUAUUGUUCAGCAUUUGUUGAAUGUUUUAUGUUGUCAUUACUUUUUUCAUAACAAUGAUAGCAUGAAAGCAUUUUUACUUUG